rnacentral:rRNA from 1 species
AAAUGACUCUCGGCAACGGAUAUCUCGGCUCUCGCAUCGAUGAAGAACGUAGCGAAAUGCGAUACUUGGUGUGAAUUGCAGGAUCCCGUGAACCAUCGAGUCUUUGAACGCAAGUUGCGCCCGAAGCCACUAGGCCGAGGGCACGUCUGCCUGGGUGUCACGC